UGGAACAGAUCAGAAGAUCAGAAGAUGCAAGAUGUGAUGACUAACAGUAAAAGUCUUAUGCUCCAUGUAGGAGGAGCAGAUGGUAGUUAUACCAACUAACACUGGUAACAAUUUUCAAGGGCUAGACAUUUGUUUUCAAUUGAAGAGCUUCCAGAGGGAGAAGUUGGAAACAGAAGUACCCAGCACAUAUACCCCUGAGAUGAGCUGACAAAUUCAAAUGCUUCCUGAAUACAAGACACAACCUAAUCAGAAGAGCUCUGCAAUGUCUGUGCUGUCUGGUCCUCACUGAUGUAUCAGCCCUGCCCGCAAGGAUUGUGGCCAGAUUGAGCAGAGAGGUAAGAUAAAGGCACAGAAUGCAGAUGUAUGCUAAAUGUCUGUCUCCUUAUCCUCUCUACUGUGCUUCACAGAAGAGGUUUCCCUGUGCCUCCUCACUACCUAAGUGGGUAUAUUGACCAUGAAUCUCAGAUCACGUGUGCCACCACAUUAGCCCAGGCUGCAACCUGCCAACACUGUCCAGCCAAAAGAGCUCUUCCUCAGUAACAAACAUGGAUUCUACUGGGAAAGCAUUAACCAUCCCUCUGGCUCACAGAAGCCAACUGUUCAUUGCCCAGCUGCAGAAAAAGCAUUGUAUCCGCUUCUCAGAAACAGAAUACCUGAAGCAUGGAUAGCAGUUGCUAAGGAAUCACUUUGAGAACAGGCUGACCUGAGAUGCAUGAGCCGUUGUUGUUAUAAUAAGCCUAAACUCUAUCACUAGGCAGAUUCUUGAGUUUUGUUUCAGAGCAGGCUGGGAAAGUUGCAAGUUAGAAACUUGCUAGGACAUAACAGGACAGUGAUUAUUCUGUAGAAAAUGACAUUUAAUCUCAUUCGGUGUAAACAGCCCAGUACAGUUAUCAGUUCCAGCAGCAUCACGAAAGUUAUCCACUUUCAAAUUACACCACUAACUAUUUGUCCAGAGAACUCACCAGGAGCCUGAGGAAAGUCCUCCAUCCAGCAUACCACAAAUACAAUGCAGUUGAGGUAAGGACUACACAGGCAGCUGAUGAGCACUGCAAGCCUUCUCGGCCUAAGAGGACUUUUCAUCACAUUACCCACUCCCACCUCUGUUCCAGAAUUUUCAGUUUGUUACUACCAGUCACCAUUAGUCUUUAUCUAAAUGUCAGUUACGGGGAUUUCCAAGAAAGAGGGGAAGGGGAAUCAGUAAGGAUCACCAUUUAUAAGGAACUGUGUGUUCUGAAAUAAUGUAAGUUCCAAAGUCAAGAAGAUGCUUUAACAAACAAAAGGCUGAUUAACCCCAGGUUGCUUUGGCAUAGAAGAAAAGUGGCCUGGGACAGCAUUGGAAUCUUUCAGCAUCUAUUUCCAAGUCAACAAGAGACAAGCCCCACAAGAAAAAAAUAACAGCUUGAUUCUAUGAUGCAGCUGCCAUCAUGAUAAGCUUUCCAAAGUGCUUUGCAAAAGCUGUCACAAAAAGGACAAUUCUCCUAAAAUACCAUGUGGGCAAGCCACCUAAGCAAACAGAAGGAUGAUUGACUCUGCAGUUCAACUCUUACAGACUGGCUCUGGCUCUGAUCUCUGAGACUUAAAAAGGCCUUAGGCACAGGGCAACUAUAACCUGUUAGAGUGAAAACACUUCUUGCCUGAAUCUCCCUAUAGCACUGAAGACUACAGAUAUUUGGGCUUGUUCCCCAGGCAAGUUCAGUUCCAAGUCAGUUAAUGCAUUUGUUAGCACUUUGAAAUUUUCGGCAUAUUUGCCUGUGUGUAAAUGGCAGCUUUAUGCUGGUAGACUAUCUUUUCUCAGGAGGUACUGUCAGGGAAAAAGACUUCACUGGGGUCGCGUUCCAUUUCUAAUAAAACCUGCACCAUAAUCAAGCAGUUCCCCAAAAGGUACCAUCUCACCUCUCUGGUUAAAAUGAACUGGCUGCCUGAGUCCUAUUUCCUGCCACAGUUCUGUUACUGACAGGAGAGGCUUUUUGAAGUUCACAAAUGAGAACAUCAAAAGCAGCAAGACAAAAAGAAGGGGAGGAGAGCUUCCCUUCCUUCAGUGUAAGAAGAUCAAGUGUGACAAACAGUGACUGGCUCUUAAGAAGGGCAGAAAAAGAGAGAAAUGCCUGUGCAGAAUUCAGGGAGUGUUAGACCUAUUUCCUUGACUGUGAUGUUCAUUAACCCUCCUCUGUGACGGAAAAUAAAAUGUGUGUGACAGCUGGGGUCCAGUCCAUUAGAAACACAAACGGUCCACUAGUGGACCCUGCUGCUGACUUAACUACUGCCCCUGGGAUACAAUACCUGUACAUGCUUGUCCUUGCUCAAUGUACAUGCCUGGCAAAAAAACCCACCCUUUGUCACUGAAUUUCCUCAUACAGAACAGUAAAGAGUGAUUAUUAAAGAGAAAGAAACAACUUCAUUUGCUCAAAACCAGGCUCCAGGUAUUUGGAGAAAUUAUAUUAAAAAACCAUUUACCCUGCUAGUCUGUUCCCAACUACGGUUAUGUUAACCUAGCUACAUUAAGGUCUAAAACCCAGGGUAAGCAAUGCCUGAUUGCAACAGUAAAGGCUGCAAAACAAACCAGACAGUGUCUUUGCUUGCAACCUUCCAGAAACUUGCUACCAUGCUGUGUUCUUAUUGUAAUUUAUUGUGCCAACUGAAUUUUAAAAGGUGUAUGUGUUUUUCUUGGAAGUGUAGCCUUUACUCUCUAACAUGGGAGAUGUUUUUAGGACAGGUAACUGAAUUAAAAAUAGUUUUAAAAUGUAUUUUGUAUCCACCCUGUACCAGGUCUAUAUCUUGGUGAGUCUCAUAUCUGCAUAUUACUGAGCAGCUUCAAUCAUGUAGCCCUCUUGCAGGGAGCACAGCUUUUGGAUGUGCUUUCUGAAGAACAGGGGUCAGGGAUUAGUGUGCUCUGCUGUAUAGGAAGGUAUAAGAAGAAAAGGGAGCUAAAAAUACUGCUUCCAUCAAGAGAUGCAGCAAUGCUAAUUCAGAGCACAGUUAGCCACUUUCUGAGAAAGUCCUUUGACACCCAAGGGAAUCAGACCAGACUGGAUCCAGCAAGUGUAAAUCAACUAGGGUCACAUGUUUUUAAGUGAUAAGGAGACAUUCCUUGUUUCUGUAUGCAGUUAUGAAAUACCUCAUAUCAUAGGAAAACUGGCCUUCAAAGGAAGGAGAUGUGAUUAAGGUAAUUUAUCCUCAAAUAUGGACAACUAGAAUGCAUGUAGCAGAAAGGCUUCCCUGUGGCUUUUGGAAGACCUGAAUCCAAACUCUAGGAGAGGCCAUGCAUGAAAUCUGCUCUCUCUGGCUGCAGCUAGCAUUGCAAUUUAUAACUCAACACGGCCCUUAGGAGGGGGGCAGCUGGAGCUCUGAGCUUUUGCCAUCACUGUGAAA